AUACGGAGGAUGCGAGCGUUAUCCGGAUUUAUUGGGUUUAAAGGGAGCGUAGGUGGGAUAUUAAGUCAGCUGUGAAAGUUUGGGGCUCAACCUUAAAAUUGCAGUUGAUACUGGUUUCCUUGAGUACGGUACAGGUGGGCGGAAUUCGUGGUGUAGCGGUGAAAUGCUUAGAUAUCACGAAGAACUCCGAUCGCGAAGGCAGCUCACCGGGCCGGAACUGACACUGAUGCUCGAAAGUGCGGGUAUCAAACAGGAUUAGAUACCCUGGUAGUCCGCACAGUAAACGAUGAAUACUCGCUGUUUGCGAUACACUGUAAGCGGCCAAGCGAAAGCGUUAAUUAUUCCACCUGGGGAGUACGCCGGCAACGGUGAAACUCAAAUGAAUUGACGGGG
rnacentral:rRNA from 1 species